GAGUGCCACUAACCGUUUCACCACCUUUUUGAUCUCGCCAACUUUCAUCAGUGCUAUUGUUACGUUCGACUUCGGAUGAAAGCACAUCACCUUGCAAGUGCCUUUGGCGGAGCCCAUCUGAAACAACUCAUCGUCCGCUUUCGGUGGAUCUGGCACCGACUCUAAUAAAGCGGGAAAAUCAUUGAUGAACGAGAACUGACUUCUCCAUUCGCCCUGAUGUUUCCUGGGCAGAGUGGAUUAUUGGGAUCAUAAUCGGGCAACUCCUCAUCAGUAUUGGGUUCAAUCUGACCUCCCCAAGGUCGUGUCAUACGAUGAGGGGAUACCAGCACCCAUUCUCCUCUUAGAGGAUUAUAUCUUAUGUGUUGAUGUUCUACAAAAUAUAUAACGUGAAUGAAUAUUUUAAUGAUAUGCCAAAUGAUUAUAUAACAAAUUAAAACCUGACCAUCAAUAUUAUGUGUAAGUUGCAUUAUAUAAUUUUUUGCUCUAACGGUAGGAAAUAAUACAUAACAUUUAAACUAUGUAAGACAUAUGACAAAAUAUUAUAAUACUAAUUUUCUUUUACAUACCAAAUUCUACAAAUCAAAAUAUU